AUGGUUGCAUCUUUUGAUCAUGGCCUACUUAGGGGCACCGCUGGUGUUGUUCUGAGGGACGAUAAAGGAAAAUUCAUUGCAGUGGGGAAUUGGAGAAUUGAUUGGUGCACGGAUGUCUUGACGGCUGAAGCUUUGGCGCUUAGAUAUGGUCUAUCAAUUUCUCAAAGAGCGGGUUGCAACCGUCUAGUUAUUAACUCUGAUAACUGGGAGGUCAUUUAAACCUUGAAUAAUGGAGGACGAUCAUCGAGUACAACAGCGACAGUGUUUGACGAUUGUUAUUUUUUGGCUUGUGAUUUUCCCAUUAGUAGAUUCGAGCACUGUAAUAGAGAAGCCAAUAGGGUUGCCCAUGAACUGUCUAAGUUAGCUAGAUUUUCUUCAGCUUUGAGCUGGUUUGAGGAGCCUUUGAGUGAAAUUGUACGCCUCCUCAUAAACUAUGUACAUGUUAUUGAAAAUUAA
rnacentral:rRNA from 1 species